rnacentral:rRNA from 1 species
UUCUGGCUCAGGAUGAACGCUAGCUACAGGCUUAACACAUGCAAGUCGAGGGGCAGCAUAGAGUUUGCUUGCAAACUCUGAUGGCGACCGGCGCACGGGUGAGUAACGCGUAUCCAACCUGCCCAUGGCUAGGGAAUAGCCCGUUGAAAGCGGAUUAAUGCCCUAUGGGGUCCUUUGCAGACAUCUAACGAGGACUAAGGUUUACCGGCCAUGGAUGGGGAUGGCGUCCGAUUAGGUAGUUGGCGGGGUAACGGCCCACCAAGCCAUCGAUCGGUAGGGGUUCUGAGAGGAAGGCCCCCACAUUGGAACUGAGACACGGUCCAAACUCCUACGGGAGGCAGCAGUGAGGAAUAUUGGUCAAUGGGCGGAAGCCUGAACCAGCCAAGUAGCGUGCAGGAUGACGGCCCUAUGGGUUGUAAACUGCUUUUAUGCGGGAAUAAAGAGGCUCACGUGUGGGCUGUUGCAUGUACCGCAUGAAUAAGGACCGGCUAAUUCCGUGCCAGCCGCCGC